CGCCUCCCCUGCCUGUCUGCAGAGGCAGUUUUGAAUUUAGGAGCGGCAAGAUGGCAGCGGCAAACCCUGGCGGUUCUCCGAUUAUGCAAGAUGAAAUUAUUCAGUCAGCAAGACACUUGCUGCAGUUGCUGACAUCAUCCAACCGAACUGCUGCUGUGAUGAAUCAGAAUACAAGAGAACAGAGUCAAGGUGGCCAGGGUACCAGCUCGGUCAACCCUGAAAGACCAUCCGUUCAGCAAGAAAUGACCAGGUGAAAAAGUCGUAAACUAAACAUUCUGCAUGAGCAUGAAAUUUAGGAUGCAACUUUAUGUCUUACCUGCUCUUACCUACUCAGGGCUUGAAUUACAACAACAGUCAAUCACAUAAAAAAUAUUUUUGGUAGUUCUGUGUCUCUGUCUCUCUCCUCCAAACCCAGAUGGCUGCUGGUACUGAGCCGGGUUCAGUUUUUCCUCUGCACUGUCGCUUCAUGCUGCUCAGUGUGAGGGAUUGUUGAGGUUGAGUCCAUAUGUCCUGGGAACAACUGCUGGGCAAUGACACUGUUAGAUUUGUAUUGUUUAUUGUCAUUUAUGCUUAGAAAUAUUUACUCAUAUAUGCUUAGAAGUAUAUAAUCAUUUGUAGAUUGAAAGAAUGUCUCAUCCUAGGA